rnacentral:rRNA from 1 species
ACGAACGCUGGCGGCGUGCUUAACACCUGAAAGUUGCACGGUGAACUCAGCUUGCGGGGGGAUUAGUGGAGAAUGGGUGAGUAAAAAGUGGGUAACAUGCCCUGAGAUAUGGGAUAAUUCCAAGAAAUUGGGGCUAAUACCGGAUAUGACCGCUGACCGCAUGGUCUGGUGGUGGAAAGAUUUAUCGGCUGGGGAUGGGCCCGCGGCCUAUCAGCUUGUUGGUGGGGUAGUGGCCUACCAAGGCGACGACGGGUAGCCGGCCUGAGAGGGUGACCGGCCACACUGGGACUGAGACACGGCCCAGACUCCUACGGGAGGCAGCAGUGGGGAAUAUUGCGCAAUGGGCGAAAGCCUGACGCAGCGACGCCGCGUGGGGGAUGACGGCCUUCGGGUUGUAAACCUCUUUCAGCAGGGACGAAGCGAAAGUGACGGUACCUGCAGAAGAAGCACCGGCCAACUACGUG